rnacentral:rRNA from 1 species
GACAGAGGGUGCAAACGUUGUUCGGAAUUACUGGGCGUAAAGCGCGUGUAGGCGGCUAAGUAAGUCGGGCGUGAAAUCCCACGGCUCAACCGUGGAAGUGCACUCGAAACUGCAUAGCUAGAGUCCUGGAGAGGAAGGUGGAAUGCUUGGUGUAGAGGUGAAAUUCGUAGAUAUCAAGCGGAACACCGGUGGCGAAGGCGGCCUUCUGGACAGUGACUGACGCUGAGACGGCGAAAAGCGUGGGGAGCCAAACAGGG